rnacentral:rRNA from 1 species
GCCAGACUCCUACGGGAGGCAGCAGUGGGGAAUAUUGCACAAUGGGGGAAACCCUGAUGCAGCGACGCCGCGUGAGCGAUGAAGUAUUUCGGUAUGUAAAGCUCUCUCAGCAGGGAAGAAAAUGACGGUACCUGACUAAGAAGCCCCGGCUAACUACGUGCCAGCAGCCGCGGUAAUACGUAGGGGGCAAGCGUUAUCCGGAUUUACUGGGUGUAAAGGGAGCGUAGACGGUCCUGCAAGCCAGAUGUGAAAGGCCGGGGCUCAACCCCGGGACUGCAUUUGGAACUGUAAGGCUAGAGUGUCGGAGAGGCAGGCGGAAUUCCUAGUGUAGCGGUGAAAUGCGUAGAUAUUAGGAGGAACACCAGUGGCGAAGGCGGCCUGCUGGACGAUGACUGACGUUGAGGCUCGAAAGCGUGGGGAGCAAACAGGAUUAGAUACCCCGGUACUA